rnacentral:rRNA from 1 species
AGGGGUAUCCGGACUUUACUCUCAUCGCCCUGUGACAUACCUAAACGUUGCCUCGGCGGGAACAGACGGCCCCGUGAAAACGGGCCGCCCCCGCCAGAGGACCCCCUAACUCUGUUUCUAUAAUGUUUCUUCUGAGUAAAACAAGCAAAUAAAUUAAAACUUUCAACAACGGAUCUCUUGGCUCUGGCAUCGAUGAAGAACGCAGCGAAAUGCGAUAAGUAAUGUGAAUUGCAGAAUUCAGUGAAUCAUCGAAUCUUUGAACGCACAUUGCGCCCGCCAGUAUUCUGGCGGGCAUGCCUGUUCGAGCGUCAUUACAACCCUCAGGCCCCCGGGCCUGGCGUUGGGGAUCGGCGGAGGCCCUCCGUGGGCACACGCCGUCCCCCAAAUACAGUGGCGGUCCCGCCGCAGCUUCCAUCGCGUAGUAGCUAACACCUCGCGACUGGAGAGCGGCGCGGCCACGCCGUAAAACCCCCAACUCUUCUGAAGUUGACCUCGAAUCAGGUAGGAAUACCCGCUGAACUUAAGCAUAUCAAUAAGCGGAGGA